rnacentral:rRNA from 1 species
UACGGAGGUUGCAAGCGUUGUUCGGAAUUACUGGGCGUAAAGGGAGCGCAGGCGGUUAGGUCAGUCUGAAGUGAAAGCCCGGGGCUCAACCCCGGAAGGGCUUUGGAUACUGCCUAACUUGAGUACGUGAGAGGAGAGCGGAAUUCCAGGUGUAGCGGUGAAAUGCAUAGAUAUCUGGAGGAACACCGGUGGCGAAAGCGGCUCUCUGGCACGCUACUGACGCUGAGGCUCGAAAGCGUGGGGAGCGAACGGGAUUAGAUACCCCGGUAGUCCCUGA